UCAGCGUGUUGUUCUAUUCGA
rnacentral:piRNA from 1 species